rnacentral:rRNA from 1 species
UACAGAGGGGGCAAGCGUUGUUCGGAAUUACUGGGCGUAAAGGGCGCGUAGGCGGCCUGCUAAGUCGAACGUGAAAUCCCCGGGCUCAACCCGGGAACUGCGUCCGAUACUGGUUGGCUUGAAUCCGGGAGAGGGAUGUGGAAUUCCAGGUGUAGCGGUGAAAUGCGUAGAUAUCUGGAGGAACACCGGUGGCGAAGGCGGCAUCCUGGACCGGUAUUGACGCUGAGGCACGAAAGCGUGGGGAGCAAACAGG